rnacentral:rRNA from 1 species
AAUAGAUACCCUGGUAGUCCACGCCGUAAACGAUGAGUGCUAGGUGUCAGGGGGUUUCCACCCCUUGGUGCUGCAGUUAACGCAUUAAGCACUCCGCCUGGGGAGUACGGCCGCAAGGCUGAAACUCAAAAGAAUUGACGGGGGCCCGCACAAGCGGUGGAGCAUGUGGUUUAAUUCGAAGCAACGCGAAGAACCUUACCAGGUCUUGACAUCCUCUGACAACCCUAGAGAUAGGGCUUUCCCUUCGGGGACAGAGUGACAGGUGGUGCAUGGUUGUCGUCAGCUCGUGUCGUGAGAUGUUGGAUUAAGUCCCGUAACGAGCGGAACCCUCGACCUUAGUUGCCAGCAUUAAGUUGGGCACUCUAAGGUGACUGCCGGUGACAAAUCGGAGGAAGGUGGGGAGUGACGACCAAAUCAUCAUGCCCCUUAUGACCUGGGCUACACACGUGCUACAAUGGGUGGUACAGAGGGCAGCGAAACCGCGAGGUGGAGCAAAUCCCACAAAACCACUCUCAGUUCGGAUUGCAGGCUGCAACUCG